rnacentral:rRNA from 1 species
UACGUAGGGUGCAAGCGUUGUCCGGAAUUAUUGGGCGUAAAGAGCGUGUAGGCGGCCAGGUAGGUCUGCUGCGAAAACUCGAGGCUCAACCUCGAGACGCCGAUGGAAACCCCCGAACUAGAGUCCGGAAGAGGAGAGUGGAAUUCCUGGUGUAGCGGUGAAAUGCGCAGAUAUCAGGAAGAACACCCGUGGCUAAGGCGGCUCUCUAGUACGGUACUGACGCUGAGACGCGAAAGCGUGGGGAGCGAACAGG